UACGUAGGGGGCAAUCGUUAUCCGGAUUUACUGGGUGUAAAGGGAGCGUAGACCGCAAGGCAAGUCUGAAGUGAAAGCCCGGGGCUCAACCCCGGAACUGCUUUGGAAACUGUCUGGCUAGAGUGCAGGAGAGGUAAGCGGAAUUCCUGGAGUAGCGGUGAAAUGCGUAGAUAUCAGGAGGAACACCGGCGGCGAAGGCGGUCUACUGGACAGCAACUGACGCUGAGGCGCGAAAGCGUGGGGAGCAAAC
rnacentral:rRNA from 1 species